UGAGCUUGCAGUGCCUUGAUGGAAAGUCGAUUUCUCGUCGAUGGAAAACGACGACAGCGACAGAUUUAAAGCGAUAGGCCACCCGUGGCCAUCGCAAUUAGAAAACUAUCAAUAUAAAACAACAACCUGAAGUGGUUUGAAAUGGGUUUCACUAAGCAUUAGGCCUAUAUACGCGCACCAGAUCGUAGUCAAACAAGCAGACUUCGCAGAGAUAAAAUGAUGUUAAUUCUUUUCAUUAUAUGUAGUUAAGCCCGUUUUCCACUCACGUAUUUCGCCGCCGCUGGCGAAAAAUUUCGCCACCGAAAAAGUUCAUUUGUUGUUCUUUCGCGCCGUCAACGAAAGGUCAAACAGAAGUUGAAAGUUAACGAUAAGCUACUGUAGCAGGAGAACAAAUUUCUUCAGCGGCGAAUGAAUGUAAAAAAAUGUUUUCUUUGUCAAAAUUUUCGCCAAUAAACUAA